GUUGGUGAACCAGCGGAGGGAUCAUUACCGAGUUUACAACUCCCAAACCCAAUGUGAACCAUACCAAACUGUUGCCUCGGCGGGGUCACGCCCCGGGUGCGUCGCAGCCCCGGAACCAGGCGCCCGCCGGAGGGACCAACCAAACUCUUUCUGUAGUCCCCUCGCGGACGUUAUUUCUUACAGCUCUGAGCAAAAAUUCAAAAUGAAUCAAAACUUUCAACAACGGAUCUCUUGGUUCUG
rnacentral:misc_RNA from 1 species